GUAAGCAAACCACAAUAUCCAGAUUUCAAAGCGAUUUCAGGACGUGGAGGACUGCCAUGGAGGUGUAUCCAACUGAUGUGAGAAAUAUCCAAAUGUCUGUGUUUGUAGCCAGCACUUUCUGCCAGAGGAUUUCGAAAUGGAACUGAAGUCUCAACUGAUUGGCUUGCCAUUUCAUCGAACGUUGAAAAGUGAUGCUAUUCCAUCGAUUUUUCCCCUUCACUUCAAAGAGGAAGGCAUCCGAUCAGUGCAGCAGAAAAGAGGACAAGCUGAGAGUCAGAUCCCAUCAACAUCUGCAGAGGCAUCAACAUCAAGCUCAGCACCAGGAAGUAGUAGGUCAUAUUAUAGGUCGAAGCAGUGGGUGCUGAAGAAAGUGUAGGAGAGGCUUGUCCAACUGGCUGUGGAGUGAAGAAAUGACCAGGCGGUUGCCUACAAGGAGCCAGAGUCACAGCCCCCUAAACCCAACAUCCCUCACAACAUCGCCACAGCGCCAAAGCCUGCUAAACCAGCUGCCAUUACCCAACAUAAGAUGAGGUUUAACAGCUGAUGAACAUUCUGGAACCUGCCUGAACAUUCAACCAACACAACAUCAAUAUUCAGUUAGACUGAUGUUGAAGUAUAAUAUAGAAUGUCUAGUAUGCUCACAACUGCAUUGUGGUUUAGAUAUUGCUAGCUGUUGUACAUAUGUACAGUAUAUGAUGGUGUUUUAUAUAUAUUUUGAAAUUACAAGUGUACUGACAGAGACUAAAUGAUUCCACCUGCAUCAGACACCAAUAAAGUGUUGACUUCAACUUCUUGAUCAAUUCAUUGUAAUUUUCAUAAAAUGGGUUUGGAUAAACUAGCUUCAGUUUUACUGUUAAACAAA